ACUUCGGGAAACCGGAGCUAAUACCGGAUAAUAUUUCGAACCGCAUGGUUCGAUAGUGAAAGAUGGUUUUGCUAUCACUUAUAGAUGGACCCGCGCCGUAUUAGCUAGUUGGUAAGGUAACGGCUUACCAAGGCGACGAUACGUAGCCGACCUGAGAGGGUGAUCGGCCACACUGGAACUGAGACACGGUCCAGACUCCUACGGGAGGCAGCAGUAGGGAAUCUUCCGCAAUGGGCGAAAGCCUGACGGAGCAACGCCGCGUGAGUGAUGAAGGUCUUCGGAUCGUAAAACUCUGUUAUUAGGGAAGAACAUACGUGUAAGUAACUGUGCACGUCUUGACGGUACCUAAUCAGAAAGCCACGGCUAACUACGUGCCAGCAGCCGCGGUAAUACGUAGGUGGCAAGCGUUAUCCGGAAUUAUUGGGCGUAAAGCGCGCGUAGGCGGUUUUUUAAGUCUGAUGUGAAAGCCCACGGCUCAACCGUGGAGGGUCAUUGGAAACUGGAAAACUUGAGUGCAGAAGAGGAAAGUGGAAUUCCAUGUGUAGCGGUGAAAUGCGCAGAGAUAUGGAGGAACACCAGUGGCGAAGGCGACUUUCUGGUCUGUAACUGACGCUGAUGUGCGAAAGCGUGGGGAUCAAACAGGAUUAGAUACCCUGGUAGUCCACGCCGUAAACGAUGAGUGCUAAGUGUUAGGGGGUUUCCGCCCCUUAGUGCUGCAGCUAACGCAUUAAGCACUCCGCCUGGGGAGUACGACCGC
rnacentral:rRNA from 1 species